GGCGGCGGGCGGAGGGGCGCGCGGGGCCCGAGGACGCACGCGGCCGGCGGGGGGCGCGCUCCCCCCCCCCCUCCCCUCCCCUCCCUCCCUCCCCUCCCCCGCCCUGACGUCACGGGCCGCCCGCCAGCCCCGCGCUCGGGCGGGCAGAGCGCGUGCGGCCGCCGAGCACAUGGGCCCGCGGGCCGGGCGCGCUCGGGGCGGGCGGGGGGCCGCGCGCAGCCUCGGGCCCCCGCGCCCCCCGCGCCCCCGGGCGCAUUUCCACGCCGAGAGCGCGUCGGCAGCCCCGGCGACCUGCACACGCACGGCGGGACCCACCUUCCAGCCUGAUCUUUUGACCAGAAAGGGAUUAAAAAGUUGCCCAUCCUGAUGGCUGUGCCUGCCGGUUGCAUGGAGCCUCAUUCAGGAUUUCCUGAGCCUCUUGGAUUUACAGUGAUACUCAGCUGCGGGGAGUGGAGGAAGCAUUCUCUGGAAUCACAGACGGCACACGUCUGGAUGCUAAUGAUGGUUUUACGGAUGGCCCCGGCUGAGUGCUUGGCAGAUCCCUGCAGCCUGGAUGCCUGUGGGGUCAGAGGACCGCGGCUUCCUGGGACGGCGGAGGUCUCUGCCCUUAUCUUCAUGCAAAUGUUCAGUUGGGUUGCUGCUAGCCUCACUGAGGGCGCCCCGUGAAACAAUCCUGUCAUACCUCGGAUUUUGGUGCCUUCAGUCUGAAAAAUACACACAUCCAUUUGGUACCCUAGAGGAACUGGAGAAUUGUCUUCCCCUGAAUGAAGCUGGACCAUUCUGGGAUUUGGAGAAAGGGCACUGGCACCCUGGGAGCUGGAGAGAUGCAGCUGGAAGAGCCCGCGCCCGGGGCACGAGGGGUCCCAUGCCAUGUCACGGGCUUGUCCCCAGCUGCCACCGUGCUGAUGGCUUGGCCGCCACUGCUGCUUACUGAGCACACCCGCGUGGGCCCUCGCUGCUGUGCCUUCUGUCGAGGCUCCGGCUCUCUCAUCCCUGAGGGACCCCGGCAUCCCACCUACCCAGGCUCACCAAGACAGGGCCCAUCACCGGUCCUCCGCACUCCUGAGUGUCGCACAGAGCGGGGGUCAGGCCACCUUAGGUUGUUGGGCUAUGGUUUUUGCAGAGUCCUGAGCUCCUGUGAAGAUCUGCUUCUCUCCAGCCUUGGGCUAUCUGCAUUCUUGAACAUCUCCGGGCCCAGAAGGAAAAGAAGAAUGCUGAGCAGCUCAGGGAAUGGCUUGAAUGAAAAGAGGAGACUAGAAGACACUUGACAGAGGUAACACUGACCCAGAGAGAAUUGAACUUGUGCCCAGUGACUAGAAGACACAUGAAGCUGGAAAAAGGAGCCUAGAAGACCGCCAUGUUUCCCCCCUAGAGGGGAACGCCCACCCACUCCCACCCCUCGCCCGUAACACAUGAUACAUUUAGCAGCGAUUUGGUCACUGCUGAGCUAUCUUCAUUUAAUGUGGUUUUGACAGAAUAGUUGGCCUGGAAAUUUUAUUUUCAAUUAAACUUCCUUGUUGAACUGCUUUGGUUUUGAAAGGAUUCCAUUAGGAUGGAUAAUUAUAUAGCAGUUGCUUCAAGGAGAUAUUUGCACUCAAUUUCCGCUCGUAGGUGAUUCAAAUCAAAUGCUUUUUCUUUUCCUCCCCAGAGCUGUUUCUGACCAUCUUCCCCAUACUACAGGCUUCUCAUGAGGUAUUUUUGGAAAUCCAAAUCAAAACAGCAAUUUUGGCGGAGGCCAUUUCUAGCUUAGCAGAGAAGCCGUAUGUACCGAUAAAAACAGCCAAAGAAUUGGUACCUUUAAAAAGCACCAAAAUCAUCUCCCUUCCUGGGGGCUAAAUUUGGGGAACCACAGACUAUCCUUUGUGCUAUCAUAUAUUUCUUUGUGAACUCUAAAGUCAAAGACAUGAAAUUCCUUUAAAGUUACCAAAGUUUUGGGGGGUCCGGGUAGCUCAGUCAGUUGAGCGUCUGACUCUUGGUUUUGGCUCAGGGCAUGAUCUCAGGGUCAUGGGAUCAAGCCCUGCCUUCAGCUCCACACUCAGCGUGGAGUCUGCUUGGAAAGCUCCCUCUCCCUCUGCCCCUCCCCCCGCUCAUGUACUCUCUCUCUUAAAUAAAAAUAAAGUCUUUUUUAAAAAUUUAAAAAUUUAAAAAAUCAAAGUUUUGUCCAAUUGCAAACUAUUGUCAUCAUCCUUUUGUUCAAGAUGGCAGGCCUUGACAGAAUUUUACCAAGGAAUGUUUUGGCCUCUGGAUCUCCCAUGAAACACAGAAAUCCCUUUACUUUCCCACACUGUACUGUUUCCUUCCUUCCCCAGAGCACAUGUGACCUACCUGAUUAUAUGACCCAAGCAGACAAACCUUCCUCUCACUCUUUAGCAGUACAUGCAAAUAGUAGGACGGACACAUAGAUAAAUGAAUAAAAUCCUAUUUUGCUCUUUUUUGAAAAAAAAAUCAUUUAUUACAUAACUAGUAAAUAUUUUCACCUUGAAAAAAAGAAAACUUUCCAAAUAAAGCUCAAGUUCUUUUCAACCACUGGGUCCCUAUCCUUGUUUCUUCAACUCUACUUGGGUUAUUACUUUAGAACCCAUCCUUGAAGACCUUUCUAAUGUAAGUAUGUGC
rnacentral:lncRNA from 1 species